rnacentral:lncRNA from 1 species
CUGCCAGAGAAAAGAAAACUCUAGAAAGGAUAUGUCGCUGCUACAUAAGCGAAAAAAACCUCAUCUCUCUGCCUAAAACAAUGCACAAGCUCCCACGCUGUCCGAAAAUGAAAUAGGCCAUCAUGGCUGGAAGCCCACCGAAUUAUAUCAAGUUUUUUACUAGAGAAAGGAACCAAUAAAAUCUGUGCCACGAUCGAAGAGGGUAACACAUCUUAAAGCUUACCUUGAUCCCAUGUUGUACCUCACCAAUAAAAAGAAACCAGCACCCCAGAAGCCGCUACAAGAUUAUAGGAGGCCAAAGGACAAGAGUCUAGCCAGCAAUCAUACCUAAAACUCACUACAACCGACCAACCAAUGCAUAUGAGGUUCAACAACCCACCCAAUCGAACAUAGUCAUCUCUAAAGAGGAGAGGCGGAAUGAUGAACCUAAACCUGACUUGUUUACACCAAUGAAUCUAAUGUCUUGACUCAGAAUCACCCUAUAAGAAUAGGUUGAAGAACCUUUCUAAGUAUUGUACUACAAUCGUAGGUGGGCAAAGAACAUGACGGCAUAGAAGACAACGCAUGUCAAACAAGCACUAGCUUCCCACCGAAAGAAAGCAACCGAUUGGCCCAUCUCGAGAUCUUAUCCCUAAUUUUUUGGACCAUAUCAUCAAAAUGAGAAAUCUUGAGACGCUUUGUAAAGACCGAACACCUAAGAUAAGUGAAUGGAAGCUGACACCACUGAAAGUCAGUGACUGAAUGGACAAUAGCCUGUCGUGAAGCAAGAGCUGAAGUUCUAAUGUAAAAAUUGCUUUUGGCUUGAUUAAUCAAUUGUCGCUAAAGACUCGAUCGAUUCCCAUUUAAAAAAAUAACAAUAUCA